AGGACGAACGCUGGCGGCGUGCCUAACACAUGCAAGUCGAACGAGAUCCAACUUGUGGCAACACUUGUGAAGAUCUAGUGGCGAACGGGUGAGUAACACGUGAGGAACCUACCCCGGAGACCGGGAUAACUGGCCGAAAGGCCAGCUAAUACCGGAUGUCCCCAUCGGAUCGCAUGGUCUGAUGUGGAAAUGGAUUCCGCUCCGGGAGGGCCUCGCGGCCCAUCAGCUCGUUGGUGAGGUAACGGCUCACCAAGGCAUCGACGGGUAGCUGGUCUGAGAGGACGACCAGCCACACUGGGACUGAGACACGGCCCAGACUCCUACGGGAGGCAGCAGUGGGGAAUCUUGCGCAAUGGGCGAAAGCCUGACGCAGCAACGCCGCGUGGGGAUGAAGGCCUUCGGGUUGUAAACCCCUUUCAGCAGGGACGAAAUUGACGGUACCUGCAGAAGAAGCCCCGGCUAACUACGCGCCAGCAGCCGCGGU
rnacentral:rRNA from 1 species